AUUGAACGCUGGCGGCAAGCCUAACACAUGCAAGUCGAACGAGUGGCGGACGGGUGAGUAAUGUCUGGGAAACUGCCUGAUGGAGGGGGAUAACUACUGGAAACGGUAGCUAAUACCGCAUACCAUCGGAUGUGCCCAGAUGGGAUUAGCUAGUAGGUGGGGUAAAGGCUCACCGAGGCGACGAUCCCUAGCUGGUCUGAGAGGAUGACCAGCCACACUGGAACUGAGACACGGUCCAGACUCCUACGGGGGGCAGCAGUGGGGAAUAUUGCACAAAGGGCGCAAGCAUGAUGCAGCCAUGCCGAGUGUAUGAAGAGGGCCUUAGGGUUGUAAAGUACUUUAAGCGGGGAGGCGUUACCCACAGAAGAAGCACCGGCUAGCUCCGUGCCAGCGGCCGCGGUAAUUC
rnacentral:rRNA from 1 species